rnacentral:antisense_RNA from 1 species
CUGGCAACGCUCCUGCGUCAUGGUCAGACAGAUCAAGCCACGGCCGUAGGUCGCCAUAAAGUUAAUGGCUUCUGGCGUGAUAUGCUCCGCCGCGAUGAUCA